CAGAGGUACGAUGCUCUGCUCUUAUUUUCUCUUCCAUUUUCUUAGGGUUUUCCAAUUUUGCCCCCCGUUUGGCUGCCGAGAAAUCUCAGGAGAGACAAAAAAUCAGUUUUUCUUUUUAAUCCUUUUUUCAAUUUGAAUCUUACAUCUUAUGUGGAUUUGGUUGCUAAAAAAUAAAGAAGAAAUGGAGACCUGAACUCGUCGAAUGAGGCUCGGUCUGAGUGGAGGUUCUGGAUUCUGCAUUUUCUUGGCGACCAAACAGAGCCUUAGGGCGGUUUAGAGUUAUUUUGUGAUUGGGUGUCCAGGGAAAAUUAAUUUUACAUAAAUAGUAUUUUCUCCAUGGAGAUUGAUCUCGAACUGCCUUCAGGCCAAGACGACAAAUUCAACACUGGAUCAAAGAUGAAUAAUGAUAUUGUUGAUGUCCCUGAUGGAAUUCAUGUUGGUGAAGAUGUUCAUGCUCCUACAAUAGGUGAACAAAUUAAGGAAAACCUUGGAGAGAAUGUGGGUGAAGAUGUUAUUGGUGGUGGGGAUCAAGUAGAUGUGAACACACUUGGAGCAGUUAGCGGGGCCAUAAAUUAUGAGCCCCAAAAUGGUUUGGAAUUUGAAUCAAAGGAGGCAGCAUAUUCUUUUUACAGAGAAUAUGCUAGGUCUGUGGGGUUUGGUAUCACAAUAAAAGCCAGUCGCCGUUCAAAACGAUCCGGGAAAUUCAUUGAUGUAAAAAUUGCAUGUUCUAGAUUUGGAAGCAAGCGGGAGUCCAGUACAACUGUUAAUCAACGAUCAUGUCCAAAAACAGACUGCAAGGCUAGCAUGCAUAUGAAGAGAAGGCAAGAUGGAAAAUGGACUAUAUAUAGUUUUGUAAAAGAGCACAACCAUGAAAUUUGUCCAGAUGAUUUUUAUUAUGCUAUCAGGGGGCGGAACAAGCAAUCUGGUGUGGUUGCUCUUCAGAAGAAAGGACUGCAGUUGGCUUUAGAAGGGGAAGAUGUAAAGAUGUUGCUUGAGCAUUUUAUCCGCAUGCAAGAUGAGAGUCCCAACUUUUAUUAUGCUAUUGAUUUGGACCAUGAAAAACGUUUGAGAAAUGUUUUCUGGGUUGAUGCAAAGGGUAGGCAUGAUUAUAGUAAUUUCUGCGAUGUAGUCUUCUUUGAUACUUCUUAUGUUAGAGACAAAUACAGAAUCCCCUUAGUUCCUAUUGUUGGAGUGAAUAAUCAUUUCCAGUUCAUUAUGUUUGGAUGUGCAUUAAUUGGGGAUGAGUGUGCAUCAAGUUUUGUUUGGUUAAUGCGGACAUGGCUUAAAGCAAUGGGUGGUGAAGCUCCAGAUGUGAUUAUUACUGAUCAAGAAAAAUCGUUGAAAGAAGCUAUCCCAGAAGUGUUUCCUGAUGCACACCAUUGUUUUUGUGUGUGGCAUAUAUUGAGAAAGAUUCCUGAAUAUUUAAGUGGUAUUAUGAAUCAGUAUGAAAGUUUUAUGGAAAAUUUUAACAAAUGCAUUUCUCGUUCUUGGACAGAAGAACAGUUUGAAAAGAGAUGGUGGAAAAUGCUUGAUAAAUUUGGACUUAAGGAGGAUCCAAGGUUUCGAUUAUUGUAUGAAGAUCGCCAAAAGUGGGUCCCAGCUUAUCUAGGGAAAAUUUGUUUAGCUGGUAUAUCUAGGAAUGACCUAUAUGGAAGUAUAACCUCUUUCUUGGACAAGUAUGUGCAUAAAGAUACUACAUUUAAGGAGUUUUUGGUGCAAUACAAAGCAUUUUCUCAAGACAGGUAUGAAAUGGAAGCUAAAGCUGAUUAUGAAACACAACAGAAGCAACCAACCUUAAGAUCUUUGUCACCUUUUGAGAAACAAAUGUCAACAAUUUAUACACAUGAAGUGUUCAAAAAGUUCCAGGCUGAGGUUUUGGGAGUGGUUGGGUGUCAAUUGCAGAAAGAACGUGAAAAUGAGGGAACCAUGAUAUUUCAAGUUGAUGAUUUUGAAGAACGUCAGGAUUUCAUUGUAGCUUGGAAUAAAACAGAUUCAAAUAUUUGUUGUUUGUGUCGUUCAUUUGAAUACAAAGGUUUCCUUUGUAGACACGCAUUGCUUAUUCUUCAAAUAUCUGGUGUAUCCAACAUCCCAUCUCACUAUAUAUUGAAGCGUUGGACAAAAGAUGCAAAGAUCGGGCGAACUACAGGUGAAGUAUCUAAUGGGCUUCAAUAUCGGGUGCAACGUUUCAAUGAUCUAUGUAAACGGGCUAUUAAAUUGAGUGAAGAAGGGUCUUUAUCUCAAGAAACCUUUGAUAUUGCAAUUGAGGCAUUAGACGAAGCCUUGAAACAUUGUGUCGGUGUGAACAAUUCUAUUACGAGUGUUUUAGAGCCCAAUAUGUUGGCUAUUCACGGUUUUCUUGAUAUUGAAGUAGAGAAUCACUCAAACAAUACGACCAAGGCAUCUAAGAAAAAGAAGGCAUAUAAAAAAAGAAAGGUACGUUCUGAUUCAGAGGGACUAACUAUCGGGAUGCAAGACAGCUGCCAGCAGAUGGAACAGUUGGACUCAAGAAUGCACACCCUUGAUAAUUGUUAUGUUCCUCAACAGGACAUGCAAGGGAUGGAACUCGGCUCUAGAGAACCAAGUCUUGAUGGCUAUUAUAGUGCUCAACAAAAUAUGCAAGGAAUGGGACAAUUGAACUCAAUACCACCUAUUCGUGAUGGCUAUUUUAGCAAUCAACAAGGCAUGCAGGGGCUGGGACAACUAAAUUCAAUACAAACACGUGUGAGCCAUUAUGGGGCCCAACAGAGCAUGCAGGGACUGUUGCAGGGACAGCUUAGUUUCAGAGCACCAGCCAUGCAGGGUUGUUUUGACAUUCAGGACAGUCUGCAAGAUAUGGAACAAUCCGUAGGUUCCUCACAAUUUCAUGGCAUUGUGACAAAACAUCUGCAUGGCAAACACCUCUCUCGGUAGCUGAAUAGUAGUUGAAUCCUCCAUACCAUUUAGAUGAAAAAAGAUAGAACCGUGGUUGUGAAUUCGUCCUCAACUUGAUGUCCGAUCAUCCAAAUGUAUGGGUUCUUUGUCUCUAUCGGUUUCAUCAUGGAUUGUGCACAUACACACACAUAGAGCCAACAGCCUUUUCUUCAACUACUGGUGAUCAUGGGACAACCUGGAAUUUUGUACAUUUGUUAAAAUCAUUGUAUGAAGUUCAUUAAUUGUAAGCUUUGACUCUUCUAGUCUUUUUAUCAAUGAUUGACAAAGAAAUAUCUUCGUGCAAAUUGGUUUUGCCCUUUUCUUCUCCUUGGCUUUCUCAUUGUAAGCAGAAAUAAAUUCAUUUGAUUUCGUCUUGGCUCCAUUGUUAUCUAUUAAUUCAAGUUAGAGAUUUUCCUCCCA